UCCCGUGUGGCUCAAUCGGUUUAGAGCGUCUGACUCUUACGCAGAUCAAUCAGAAGGUUGCGAGUUCGAGUCUCGCCAUGGAGG
rfam:Schizosaccharomyces japonicus yFS275 unplaced genomic scaffold supercont5.2, whole genome shotgun sequence.